rnacentral:rRNA from 1 species
UACGAAGGAUGCAAGCGUUAUCCGGAUUCAUUGGGUUUAAAGGGAGCGUAGGUGGUCUUAUAAGUCAGUGGUGAAAUCUCUGGGCUUAACCCAGAAAUUGCCAUUGAUACUGUAGGACUUGAGUAUAGUUGCCGUUGGCGGAAUAUGACAUGUAGUGGUGAAAUACAUAGAGAUGUCAUAGAACACCGAUUGCGAAGGCAGCUAACGAAACUAUAACUGACACUGAGGCUCGAAAGUGCGGGGAUCAAACAGG